rnacentral:tRNA from 1 species
AAGGGUAUAGCUCAGUGGCAGAGCAUGUGCUUAGCAGGUACAAGGUCCUGGGUUUAACCCCCAGGACCUCUG